rnacentral:rRNA from 1 species
UACGUAGGGUGCAAGCGUUGUCCGGAAUUAUUGGGCGUAAAGAGCUCGUAGGCGGUCUGUCGCGUCUGCUGUGAAAACUCGGGGCUUAACCCCGGGCCUGCAGUGGGUACGGGCAGACUAGAGUGCGGUAGGGGAGACUGGAAUUCCUGGUGUAGCGGUGAAAUGCGCAGAUAUCGGGAGGAACACCAGUGGCGAAGGCGGUGCUCUGGGCCGGAACUGACGCUGAGGAGCGAAAGCGUGGGUAGCAAACAGG